CUUAGCUGAAAUUUUAUAAUUUUAUUUUCUCUCUACGUGACUUUACCGAAAGAACCAAAGAGCAAUUCCUGCAGUGUCACGAAAGCUUCAAAUCAAGUUUGAAUAUUAGAUUAUUUUUUUUUAGUUUUGCGUAUUUUACUGCGUUAAAUCGGCAGCCUUGUGGUGACGGGUCCCUUGCGGAGUUUCAGUCGUUGUGCCUUGUCCAACACUGGCCUGUAUUGUCCGACGGCGACUCUGCGUUUAGCGGCGGUGACCACUAUCGCGCGGAUAGGUCGGAGCGAUCUGUCGUUUACCGUUGCCAUAUCGGUGUGAAGUGAGCCCUGCGGUGUGACUCUGCUGUCCGUUUUAAUCCCUCCAGGCUCAGGUGCAGAAACCCCAUAAUUAUCGCUUAAUGAACGCCGCCCAAUAAACUCCACAAACACACGCCGAGGGGCAGCGCUCCGAGGCAGCGAAUCCGAACUAGUCACGGCGACGGAGAGAUGAGGCAACAGAAUCCGAGUUGUAUAUUUGAAAUCGCCUCUUGUGUUGUCACGACGACUCAUGAUGUACACGUGUAUUUAGUUUAUGACAUGCAGGCAGCAGCAGCCAGAUUUUCUUGCAUUUUUUUUGCUGUUUUGAGUUUGCUGUGGUAGUUUUGUCAUUUUUAUGUUAAUUUUUGUACUUUUAUAUAUGUCGUUGGUUUUUAUAUGGACGUUACCUAGGGUUUUGUUCAGUUGGCCACAAUUGGCGGUGUUUUUUUUUCCCGUUGACUUCCUCUGUGCUUCCACCCCUGGGUUUUUCUCAAAGAGUUUCCUCAGUCUGGUGGUAAUGUCUCGUGAAACAACUAAAAGCGAUGGUUUCUCCUUUAUUAUCCAAUUGAGAGUGUGAGCUGAGGGCAUUUUAGAGCUUGUUUUAAACCACAGCUUUCCCAGAAUAAAAUCUCUUACAAAGAGAUUCGUACCUCGGUGCAUUUCCACCGGGUUACGUGCGUCUGUGUCAAAAACAACACAUUUUAUGUUUUGCAUCAGAACAGUUUUCCCCUUAGCUGAUGUUAAGCAAACACAUUUAAAUAGCUUCACAGGAAAAUGACUAAAUAUGAAAGAUAUGUUUUUUUAAAAAAAAUAUGUUAUUUAGUGCAUUCUGGAAGGUGUACCACACGUCAUGUUUAGCUUGCAGCAUGAUCAUAAGCAGUGACCGCUUGUAAGCGAGCGAGAUCACCUUGGAUAGGCCCUCACCCUGAGGAGAGCUCUCUUCAUAGUUAGCCCAUGGGCCAGAGCAGACACUGGCACUCCCUCGGGUAGCGUGCAUUGUUUAUGUAUGGCUAACGAGAGUCGCUACCCUUCACCUGCUCAAUCCAAGCGCUAAUCGCAAUCAUUCACCGCUAUUGGCCGCACGCAGGAAUUGGAGAACCGCUGACGUGAUGCCACCUCGGGAGGUUACCGACGAGUGAAGCGUCUGCUCUGGCCUCAUGGACUCCGGUGGUGGUGCCGGUGGUGUUUGCGAAUGCACAUUGUGGAUCGUCUGGAUUGGCAACGUACCCCAGUGAACUAGAGCACAAGGAGAAUUCAGUGGGGCCUCCUCUCCAUGGGUGGGGAAGAGGCUUGGUGGCACAGCGAGACGGACUCAGCCGCUAACAGGGCACUGCGUGUCAUUGCCACUCAUGUUCCUCACUGUUACAUCAAUGUUACAUUCUGUUUGUAAAUCCCUAACAAAAAUGUCGUUGCGUAAAAGCUGCUAUUGGAAGAGCAUAGUCCCGCCGUCCUUUUUGUAAUCGUAUAGCCGCUCAUCAAGUUGUAAAAAGCUCAAUUAAAUACGAGUCGGUCUCGUGCCUUCCCUCCGCUUUGCGCGGAAUAAAAUGCAUCGCCCAAAACAUUGCCUCACAUUUCAGAUUGUGGAGCAUUUGAUAACUGUGUAACCAACGUUGGUGAGGUUUUAUCAGCGGCUUAUUCUACACCGCUGCCAGCAAGAGUCCCCUGAAAAUGUGUAUUUUAUUUUCGGUAAAUGUUUGUAUCGCACGCAGAAAUGUAAACGAAUCGUCCUCCUUUGCUGUCAUCUACUGGCACCAUCUGUAGCUUAGUGCCGUCAGUCUACAGGCACCAUCACUCUGUAGCUUAGUGCCGUCAGUCUACUGGCACCAUCACUCUGUAGCUUAGUGCCGUCAGUCUACUGUCAGUCUACUGGCACCAUCUGUAGCUUAGUGCCGUCAGUCUACUGGCACCAUCACUCUGUAGCUUAGUGCCGUCAGUCUACUGGCACCAUCACUCUGUAGCUUAGUGGCGUCAGUCUACUGGCACCAUCUGUAGCUUAGUGCCGUCAGUAUACUGGCACCAUCACUCUGUAGCUUAGUGCCGUCAGUCUACUGGCACCAUCACUCUGUAGCUUAGUGCCGUCAGUUUACUGGCACCAUCACUCUGUAGCUUAGUGCCGUCAGUCUACUGGCACCAUCACUUUGUAGCUUAGUGACGUCAGUCUACUGGCACCAUCACUCUGUAGCUUAGUGACGUCAGUCUACUGGCACCAUCACUCUGUAGCUUAGUGCCGUCAGUCUACUGGCACCAUCACUCUGUAGCUUAGUGCUGUCAGUCUACUGGCACCAUCACUCUGUAGCUUAGUGCCGUCAGUCUACUGGCACCAUCACUCCGUAGCUUAGUGACGUCAGUCUACUGGCACCAUCACUCUGUAGCUUAGUGCCGUCAGUCUACUGGCACCAUCACUCCUUAGCUAGUGCCGUCAGUCUACUGGCACCAUCACUCCUUAGCUUAGUGCCGUCAGUCUACUGGCACCAUCACUCUGUAGCUUAGUGCCGUCAGUCUACUGGCACCAUCACUCUGUAGCUUAGUGCCGUCAGUCUACUGGCACCAUCACUCCUUAGCUUAGUGCCGUCAGUCUACUGGCACCAUCACUCCUUAGCUUAGUGCCGUCAGUCUACUGGCACCAUCACUCUGUAGCUUAGUGCCGUCAGUCUACUGGCACCAUCACUCUGUAGCUUAGUGCCAAGUCACAGGAGGCGACGUCACUCGGGGGGGGGGGGGGGGAGGUUCAGAACACGGGAACACUUGCAGAUCGCACGCUUCUCUCUCCGCACAAGGCAGCCAUUUAGCAUCCAAUAAAACCAAAGUUCUACUGCUCAUCCCCGAAAGGACUCGCCGAAUCUCAAGAUUCGUUGAAAGAAGAGAAGGAGGUUCCGCUGCUUUAAUGAACAAAAGUGUUUACAUCGUCGCCUCUUUCCACCCGGAUCUUACGCACGACUGGCUCAAUGGCACAAAAUAAGUAGUUGUUUUUUUUAAAGCCAUUCCACACAAGUUGUAACAAGAAACGCUCGUGGCAAAUGAUUACAGUGCCCAAAAUGGGAUUUGAACUUUAGCCAAAUUAGUACAUAGCACUUUUCUGAAUCAGUCUUGCUUGUGUGUGCUGUAGGUUGCCUGUUUCUGGCACCGAUACUUUGUGUAUACAGUAUUGUUAACAAUGAUUUAUUUUUGUUUACGGGGUACGCGCAGCAGUGGUUCGGGAUGUUGUAAAAAAAAUGCUUAUAGUGUAUUCGUGGUUCAACCUGGAGGUUUUUCUUUUUCGGGUUACAAUAAUUUCUGUGUAACUUAGCGCAAUGCGGCAUGUUUUGUUCGAAAGCUGCGCGGCUGCUGACCAGGAAAAUUUAAGUGGUCACCACACACAUUUGCUUAUAUAGAUACACCGCGUUUGAUAUCAUCUGCGUAGUUGUAAUCAGCGGCAUGGUAAUGCAAUUGUCCUUGGUGCCAAUCAAACAGACUCUAUAACGCGACUAAUUUUACUUUUUUUGUUCUUGUAAAUAAUUAAUAUUUGGGGGGAUGUGGGAGGCGGGGAGGGGGAGGUGCAUUCGGUCUAAAAACGGUUAGAAAUGUGCAAGAAAAAAUUCCAGUGUAACCAAGAGGGUGGUCUCAUUAGUGCACAAACAUGAGCGGCGUAAUUGUCGCUAUAUACGUUUCCGUUUGGACGCCUCUGGAGAUGGCCGUGGCGUGUUUGUGCAGCGGUGAACCUCGAGGUUUAUCAGGGAAGACAUUGUCGCUGCUUUACCGCGGUGUAGCAGAAGCGCACACAUCGAGCGGACGCUGCAUUCGACGCCUCCUGGGGCACCUAAAUUUACAACAACAGCAAAACAUGCCCCUUUUAGUUCACGGUGUAAUGUUUGAAGCCCCUUUAAAAAAAGCCUGCUUUUAUCAAAGGAAUUGAAAUGUACGCACAUCACCUCAAAAUAAAAGCUUGAAUUUUAGUCUAAACUAGUUUAUAUUAAAAAAAAGAAAUGAAAGCUAUUUUUCUGUGUAAACCCAAAUAUGUAUGUAUGUGUGUUACGUGCAAACAGCAGAUUUGUGACGGGAGGCCAAAAUGGUCAAGUAAUCAGCCUCUGUGCCUGUUUAAAUUUGUCAUCAGCUUCAGGCAGCUUUAGCCUCAUAGGAAACUAGAUCGUAAAUAUGUGGUGGCGUGUGUGUACACGUGUUUCAAAGGCAGACUUGUGCUGUAUUUCAAGCUUACGUUAACAAAGCUGUUCAAAUUCCUGAAGAAAGAUUUUAAUAAAAGUGACAAUUUGACAAUGCUAAAAUAUCGUUAAUGAGAAUCAUCACUGUUUUGUGUAAGUGGUGCAGAUACUAUUGGUACAAAUUAUAUUUUGUUUUUCAUUGCCCCGUGUUUUAUGCAAAAAGGGCUUAAAUGGGGUCACCCAUAAUUCUGUUAUUUUUUUUUUACCCCACACAAUCCUAAAAAAUUCCCUCUAUAAAAACACACGAAGUAGAAAUACUUAAUAUUCUUUGGGUCUUUCGCUAAAGUCACGUAGAUAGCAAAAAUAAUAACACUUUAUUUCUAUUCUUUUAUUGUUAUUAUUUUUUUAUAUCCACGUGACUUUACCGAAAGACCCAAAGAAUAUGAAUUCCUGCAGUCACAAAAGCUUUAAGUCUAGAAAUACUUUGUACAUGUACGUAUUUACUUUGGUCUAAUUUGUCAUCUGUCAUUUUUUUUAAAGAUUACACGACAUAGCCUGCAACACCCCCCCCUCCUCCUCCUCCCCUUGUAAGGUUUCGAAAAUAACAAUGGCGUGACCCGAAAACUCCCCAGUGUCAAUCAUUCAUUGUGAGGUGUCGUCCGUGCGCUCGUUCUCGCCGUCUUACAACAACAUUCGCGGCGUUGCCAGAUGUACGUGCGGCUGAUUGCUUACUCGCCUCCGUUGGUGCUUCAUGCGAUGUCCUAAGUGGAAUUGUGUGCGCCCGUGAACAGGAAACCCAUUACAACUAUAAGUUGUUUUCAUGUUUGCAUAGAAAUUGCCACGCGAUCCCUAAUGCUCUCACGUUACUGUAAUUGGCCGUUUGCUAUUGCGAGCGGCCUGACUUUGAGCGGUUCAGAGAGGAAUGUUCGAGGCCCGUGGCUUUUGAGACGGAGGUAGUUGAUGAAGGGGGACGAAGUGGAGAGGAGGGGGAAGCAUUGUGGACGUAUCACACAUUUGCAUGCACCCAGGCACAUUGCCCCAUCGUGAACUCCCAUCUCCCGUUCAUUAUGCCUUACUUUUUUGCACUUUGUAUAUUUGUAAUACAUCAUUUUCAUAUUGUGAACCAUGUUAGUCGUUGUUGUUGUAGUAGUGUACAUAGUCUUCACAAUGAAAAAUAGCUGCCAAUGUCAUUGUUAUUAUUUGACUAUAUUCCAAGUAGACAAACAUUUUUUGUUAAUAAAAAAAAAUUGCUUUGCUCGA